UACGUAGGUCCCGAACGUUGCGCGAAUUUACUGGGCGUAAAGGGUCCGUAGGCGGUUUAGCAAGUGGUUGGUGAAAUUUCACGGCUCAACCGUGAAACUGCCUUCCAAACUGCUAAACUUGAGGCAGGGAGAGGCCGGCGGAAUUCCAGGUGUAGCGAUGAAAUGCGUAGAUAUCGGGAGGAACACCAGUGGCGAAGGCGGCCGACUGGAACUGUCCUGACGCUGAGGGACGAAAGCUAGGGGAGCAAACCGG
rnacentral:rRNA from 1 species